GACACGUUAGUCACAAAUGGUCCAAAUUUUAUUCAUUUAUUUAAUUUUUAUUUCUUUGCCUCUAAUUUUCCCAACUCCCUGCGAAUUUCAGAGUUUGGCGGUGAUGUUGAUUGGAUCGAUUGAUUAAUUGCUUCAGUUUUUUCAUUCAUCCUCUUCUCGACUUCAAAUCCACUUGAUCGAUGGUGUUUUGGCCAUUCGGAUUCGUCGCUUUCAGGAGUCAAAAGUUAUUUUGAACUCUAUUUAAAGUUCGGUUUCAGGAUGGAAUAGGAUUGUUUUGGAUCAUUAUAUGGAGGAAUGUAACCAACAGUUAACAGGUGAUUAUUGGAAUGGAGUGAAAUUUUUUAUUGGCCUAGAGUAGAAUAGCACAAUAUGUUGAUGAUGGUCUUAAAAAACUUCCACUAGCUAUACCUGCCACACCUAGAAUGACAAAGGAGCUUCCAUCACAAUUAUGCUCCAAAAAUCCUUGAAAGUAGGAAUGACAGCAUAAGGAUGCCACAAGUAAUAAAACAUGGACAAAAUACUAAUUUUAGAACAAUAAACAAUAGGUAGAUGAUGGGAGUCUGUUUCUACUUCUGUUAUGUAACAAUACCAAGAACUAAAAACCAGUAAUCACACGAGAGGGAGAGACUGCCAAGGAGAUCAGAAGAAUCAAUAUCUUGGGAGUUCCCCUACGGUAUAUAUAUAUAUAUAUAUGUGAGGAAAUUUCACUCCCCUCCCCUGGCGUUUCCAUUUAUUACACUCCCUUCCCCAGUGAAGUUUAAAAUUACAUAACGAUCCCUUUGAUAUUGUAGAUUCUAUCAAUCGUACCCACGCUUUGAACUGUCCACCGUUAAAGUGACUAAUGUAGAAGUAGGUUACACUAGGUAACAACUUCCAAUUUAUUAAAGCUCUAACCAACUCAAUUCUGAUCCCACAAGUUAGUCUUAACAGAAACCAGAAAAUAGGUUCAGAAACAAAGAAAAUCAAAACCAGAAUUUUAGAUGACCAAACCUUUUCUAAGGAAUCAGAAAUAGCUUCCAGUAUAAGCACUUGCAGCAACAAGAGCUAUUUCAGAAAACAAACCGACAGCAACAGAUAAUGCCCAGGCGGAACUGGUUUUGGCCAGAUUAGAGGGAGAAUUUGUAACUGAGAUCUGGUGGAGUAACAGAGGGUAAAUACUUGGUCAAUUGUUCCCCUUAGAAUGGUUCUUAACUCCUUCAAAUGGUUUCCAAAAAUACUGAACAGAAGUUGAGUAACAGGUCCUGUCGAUUCUCCUUAAAUCCCUAACUUCUGAGAAAAUCAAUGGCUGAUUUGUGGCUCUCCUUGUUCUGCAACUAUAGCUCUGUUGGACCUUCAAUCGAUGCUUUAAAAAUACUCUAUGAUCUCUCUCCCUCACAAGCACAAAUAAAGAAGGAGAUAAAGAAAAGAAAAUAGAACAGAUGGAGGGUUGAGAAGUGUGAAAGAGAAUAAUGGAAUGGGUAUCUCACCCCUUAGGUGAUGUAGAUCCCCAUCAUGGGAUCCAUUACCGAAGGAGGAAUAAGCAACCUUGAAGCUACCAGACAGUAUAGGAAGCUCCCCUGUGCUGCUAUUUUAGUUUCCUAAUUUAGUAGUAUGGUUAUGUUUUAGGAAGUCCUAUUAGCUGCUAUUUUGUUUCCUAAAUUAGAAGUUAUUGGUAGUUUCUAUUUUGCAUUAGUUUUUAUUUUGAAUUAGUUGCUAAUUGCAUUAGUUUCUAUUUUGAAUUAGCUUCUAUUUUCAUUAGUUGCUAAUUUGAAUUAGUUGCUAAUUGCAUUAGUUGCUAUUUUGAUUUAGCUUCUAUUUUCCUUAGUUUUUAUUUUUUUAAGUUUCUAAUUUUUGUAAUUCAGACCUCUAUAUAAAGAGGUUGCUGUAGACACAAAUUACAAUUGAAUUAAUGAAGAUUGCUGCAGUUUUUUGCUUGCUCCCUCUCGAGAGAAAGGAAGACAAUAGCUGGGAUAGCUGUGGGUGAGAUUCCCAGGCUGAGAUAGCCAAUCCCACCCACAUCUAUCUUGACUUACAUCUUCUUUUCUUCUUCUUUUCUUGUUCUCUGUUAUUGCUUGUGUGAGAGAGAUCUAAGAGUAAUUUUGGAGCAUCGAUUGGAGGUUCUAUCGAGUCCAGUUGCAGGGCCAACCAUCGUUUCUUCUCAGAAGCAAGGGAUUUCAGAAGUAGCGAUAGGACCUAUUCUCUCAACCUCUGUUCAGUAUUUCUGGAAACCUUUUGGAGGAGUUAAAGACCAUUCUAAGGGGAACAAUCGACCAGGUAUUUACCCUCUGAUACUCAACCAGAUAUCAUUUACAAACCCUCCCUCUAAUCUAGCCGAAACUAAGGCUCUGUACUGUAAUCUUCUAAAAAAUCAAUUCUAUCAUUUUUUCAUUUUUUUGAAACAAAAAUGGGGUAAAAGCUGUAUGGUAAGUCCGGUUCAAUUUCUUGUUUUUUUGAAAUGAACCGGCACUUUUUAGGUUUUGGAAUCCAUUUUUUUAAGCAUGAAAAGUAAACUUCUCACACUCAGAAUCGAUUCUGAGAAAAAGGCGCAGAAUGAAAGGUUCCACUUAAGUACGAAAGGGUAAAAACGAUAUUUGCGGUCAAAACAUAAGAAAAUGGUAAGCCAUUACAUGAAACCCUAUUUCUUCUUUCUUGGAAAUCCUGAAGAGAGAAGCAGAGCCUAGCGGGAAGUGGAUGCUCCAGCCGUCGACAAGAAUCUAGAGAAAGAAGCUUCUUCGCCUGCCGUGGACGAGAAACUGUAUUCAGGUCAAGGGUUUUGGACUCCUCUGUGCACGAAGACGCACAAGAUCUGCGAGGUUUCUUGUCACUUCAGUGGGGUUUGAACUUUGCUCAGAGUUUUUGGCAAUGGAGCCAUAUUGGAAUCCUCCUUGGGAUAGUCAGAGUCUGGGGUUUAUAACACAUGGAAGGAAAGGAGAUACGACCUGGAAUGUUAUGUGUGCUUGUGACCUUGACAUGAAAUUCACUUUUGUGUAUGCUGGUUGGGAGGGUUCUGCAAAUGAUUGUCGAGUAUUCAAUGAGGCAUUGAAUAACCCUAAAUUUGAAUUUCCUCAUCCUCCACCUGGUAAAUAUUAUGUGGUUGAUUCUGGUUAUCCAUCUACUACUGGGUUCUUGACGCCGUUCAAAGGACAAAGAUACCAUCUAAAUGAUUAUAGGAAUAGACGUCCAAGGACAACAGUAGAGCUAUUUAAUAAUAGACACUCUUCUGUUAGGAAUGUCAUAGAGCGCAGUUUUGGUUCUUUGAAGAAGCGCUUCCCAUUCUCAGCAAAAUGCCAUGUUUUCCACUGAACACCCAAACAUGCAUCGUCAUUGCUUGUUGUGCACUUCACAACUUCAUUCGGGAGGAAGAAAUUGCAGACAAGAAUUUUGAAGAGUUUGGUGAAAAUUGGUGGAAUCAAGAGCCUGAAGAAAUUCAAGAUUAUGUACCGCCGGCUCACAUUAGUAUAAGCUUAGCAGAAAGAAGAAGACAGAUGGAUGAUCUUAGGAAAAAGAUUGCAAAUGAGUUAGCUGUUAAAGCCGGAAUGACUCAAAUUAUAUGAUUACAUUUUGAUGAUUGGAUUUAAACUUUAAAGUAGUUGGACAUGUUUAGCACUUAAGAAUUAAGUUGGAAGACCUAAUUUAUGCCCUUAAGUUCAUAACUAAAUACUUUAACGAUUAUGUCAAUACUUGAAUUUAUUCUUGUUCAUGCUUUUAUGUUAUUAUGAUAGAUCAUAUUUUUGUUCAAACAUUUCAAAUUUCAUAUGGCAAGGAAACACGGCCAAAUAUUUCAUA